rnacentral:rRNA from 1 species
GCCUGUUUAUCAAAAACAUCGCUCUUCGUGAUACAAAAAUUGAGGAGUCGGACCUGCCCAGUGAAAAUUUUUAACGGCCGCGGUACUCUGACCGUGCAAAGGUAGCAUAAUCAUUUGCCUUAUAAUUGAAGGCUAGUAUGAAUGGUUUGACGAGAAUAUAACUGUCUCUUCGAGAUUUAUUAAAAAUUUAUAUUUAGGUGAAGAAGCCUGAAUAUAAUUAAAAGACAAGAAGACCCUAUCGAGCUUAAAAUAAAUUAAUAAAUUAAAAACAAUAUAUAAUAAAAGUACUUGAUAUUAAAUAUUUUGGUUGGGGCGACUAAGGAACAAAUAAAGCUUCCUCAUUUAUAAUUAGGUUCACAAACAUUGAUCCAAAAAUUUUUGAUUAAUGAAAUUAGUUACCGUAGGGAUAACAGCAUUAUCUUUUUUGAGAGUUCUAAUCGAAAAAAAGGUUUGUGACCUCGAUGUUGGACCAGAAUAUCCUAAAGGUGCAGCAGCCUUUAAGGGUUGGUCUGUUCGACCAUUAAAAUUCUACGUGAUCUGAGUUCA